rnacentral:rRNA from 1 species
AUGAUGAUAAUGACAUUAGUUGAAGAAGAAGCUCCGGCUAACUUCGUGCCAGCAGCCGCGGUAAUACGAAGGGGGCUAGCGUUGUUCGGAAUCACUGGGCGUAAAGCGUAUGUAGGCGGAUCAAAAAGUUAGAUGUGAAAUCCCUGGGCUCAACCCAGGAACUGCAUUUAAAACUAGUGAUCUAGAAUUUGGUAGGGGUUAGUAGAAUUUCCAGUGUAGAGGUGAAAUUCGUAGAUAUUGGAAAGAAUACCAGUGGCGAAGGCGACUAACUGGGCCAUUUUUGACGCUGAGAUACGAAAGCGUGGGUAGCAAACAGGAUUAGAUACCCUGGUAGUCCACGCAGUAAACGAUGAGUGCUAGUCGCUGGGACAAUAGUUUCAGUGUCGAAGCUAACGCAUUAAGCACUCCGCCUGGGAAGUACGGUCGCAAGAUUAAAACUCAAAUAAAUUGACGGGGGCCCGCACAAGCGGUGGAGCAUGUGGUUUAAUUCGAAGCAACGCGAAGAACCUUACCAGACCUUGACAUGGUGUGUUUGAAUUACAGAAUCGUAAUUCUUCAGUUCGGCUGGCACACACACAGGUGCUGCAUGGCUGUCGUCAGCUCGUGUCGUGAGAUGUUGGGUUAAGUCCCGCAACGAGCGCAACCCUCAUUUUUAGUUGCCAUCAGGUUAAGCUGGGCACUCUAAAAAAACUGCCGGUGAUAAGCUGGAGGAAGGCGGGGAUGACGUCAAGUCCUCAUGGCCCUUACGGUCUGGGCUACACACGUGCUACAAUGGUGGUGACAGUGGGCAGCAAUACUGCAAAGUAAAGCUAAUCCCAAAAAACCAUCUCAGUUCGGAUUGGACUCUGCAACUCGAGUCCAUGAAGUUGGAAUCGCUAGUAAUCGUAGAUCAGCGUGCUACGGUGAAUACGUUCUCGGGCCUUGUACACACC